rnacentral:rRNA from 1 species
GAUGAACGCUGGCGGCGUGCCUAAUACAUGCAAGUCGAGCGAACAGACGCGGAGCUUGCUCCUCUGACGUUAGCGGCGGACGGGUGAGUAACACGUGGAUCACCUACCUAUAAGACUGGGAUAACUUCGGGAAACCGGAGCUAAUACCGGAUAAUAUAUUGAACCGCAUGGUUCAAUAGUGAAAGACGGUUUUGCUGUCACUUAUAGAUGGAUCCGCGCCGCAUUAGCUAGUUGGUAAGGUAACGGCUUACGAAGGCAACGAUGCGUAGCCGACCUGAGAGGGGGAUCGGCCACACGGGAACGGAGACACGGUCCAGACUCCUAAGGGAGGCAGCAGUAGGGAAUCUUCCGCAACGGGCGAAAGCUUGACGGAGCAACGCCGCGUGAGUGAUGAAGGUCUUCGGAGCGUAAAACUCUGUUAUGAGGGAAGAACAAAUGUGUAAGUAAAUAUGCACGUAUUGACGGUACCUAAUCAGAAAGCCACGGCUAACUACGUG